GAUGAACGCUGGCGGCGUGCCUAAUACAUGCCAGUCGAGCGAACAGACGAGGAGCUUGCUCCUCUGACGUUAGCGGCGGACGGGUGAGUAACACGUGGAUAACCUACCUGUAAGACUGGGAUAACUUCGGGAAACCGGAGCUAAUACCGGAUAAUAUAUUGAACCGCAUGGUUCAAUAGUGAAAGACGGUUUUGCUGUCACUUAUAGAUGGAUCCGCGCCGCAUUAGCUAGUUGGUAAGGUAACGGCUUACCAAGGCAACGAUGCGUAGCCGACCUGAGAGGGUGAUCGGCCACACUGGAACUGAGACACGGUCCAGACUCCUACGGGAGGCAGCAGUAGGGAAUCUUCCGCAAUAGGCGAAAGCCUGACGGAGCAACGCCGCGUGAGUGAUGAAGGUCUUCGGAUCGUAAAACUCUGUUAUUAGGGAAGAACAAAUGUGUAAGUAACUAUGCACGUCUUGACGGUACCUAAUCAGAAAGCCACGGCUAACUACGUG
rnacentral:rRNA from 1 species